rnacentral:rRNA from 1 species
AUUGAACGCUGGCGGCAGGCCUAACACAUGCAAGUCGAACGAGUGGCGGACGGGAGAGUAAUGGCUGAGAAACUGCCUGAUGGAGGGGGAUAACUACUGGAAAAGGUAGCUAAAACCGCAUACCACCGGUUUUGCCCACAUGGGAUUAGCUUGUGGGUGGGGUAACGGCUCACCAAGGCGACGCUCCCUAGCUGGUCUGAGAGGAUGAACAGCCACACUGGAACUGAGACACGGUCCAGACUCCUACGGGAGGCAGCAGUGGGGAAGAUUGCACAAUGGGCGCAAGCCUGAUGCAGCCAUGCCGCGUGUAUGAAGAAGGCUUUCGCGUUGUAAAGUACUUUCAGCGGGGAGGCGUUACCCGCAGAAGAAGCACCGGCUAACUCCGUGCCAGCAGCCGCGGUAAUAC